CUUUGCCAUUGUGAAUUGCGCUGUGAUAAAUAUUCGAGUGCGGGUGUCUUUUUGAUAAAAUGACUUAUUUUGCUUUCGAUUGACUCCCAGCAGUGGGAUGGCUGGAUUGAAUGGUGGGUCUCCUUUUAGUUCUUUGAGGAAUUUCCCUACUGCUCUCCGUGCUAAAUUAGUAUGUACAUUCCCACCAACUGUGUGUAAAUGUUCCCUUUUCUCUGCAUCCACAUCAACAUCUGUUGUUUUCUGGCAGAUUAACAAUGGCCACGCUGAAAGGGGUGAGGUGGUAUCUCGCUGGGGUUUUAGUUUGCAUUUCCCCGUGAUUGGUGAUGUUGAGCAUCGAGUCACACACGUGUGUUGGCCACUUGAAACACGGCUGUUCUUAAUUAAGGUACAGCCACAGCAGCAGAAUGUUCAUUUUGCUCUUCCUCCACCGUGGGCCGCUCGUGACCUCAAAGGGUUUUUACGGUGUCGGCGAUUGUUCCUGGCGGAUGAAUAGGCGACUCGUGAUCAGAAGAUGGGUCUGCAGUCUGUGUUGCAAUGGAACAUACCGUCUGUGUUGCAAGGGUCAGGAAAUUACAGAACCAGAGCCAGACCUGGCCUGUGGCCCGCUUUUGUAAAUAAAGUUUUAUCGGGACACUGCCGCGCUCAUUUCACGUCUGUGGUGGCUGUCGCACUGAGAGAGCAGAGUGGGGUAGCCGGGACCCUUCACAGAAAAUGCUUGCUGAGAUCUGGCGGAUGCUGUCAAAAUUAUGAACGGUCCAGGUGGAGCCCGGGUGGGCUGUGGGACGGCCUGGCGUCAGGUCUCAAGUUGGGUGCAGAGUGAAGGAAACUUACCUGUGUGUCCCAGGAAAGACAGCUUUUCUUCUCUUCUUUGGGGCUUUCUAGCUGUUCUCCUGCCUCCGGAACUGCCAGUCUCCAGGACCUUGCGUGGAAUGGGCCUUUGAUGUGAUAACGUGGAAUUCUCUUAGAAUUCAGCUGGGCCGUGUGGAUUGACACAGCGGAAGAAGGACAAGGUUAGCAAAUAACUCAAAGUUAUGGGAGAUCAAAGAACAACUCUAUUUUUUUUUUUGGUUAAUUAAUGAUGAGAAAUUGAAUAUUUCUCCAAGUGGGAUAUAACAAUGCUUACAUUUAUUUUCUGCAUUUGCCAUUUCAACCUCAGAACCCUCCAUGCCAUCUUCAAUUUUCAUCUAUGCCUUUAUGUCUUGUGCAACUACCGUGUUUCCCUGAAAAUAAGACCUACCCAUAAAAUAAGCCCUAGCAGGAUUUCUAAGCAUGUGCGCAAU